rnacentral:rRNA from 1 species
GAUUGGAAAUCUCAAAAAUUCUUGACGGGAACCCCUUUUUUCCGCCAGAUGAGGGCGCACGGGUGAUAACACACGAGGGUAAUCCUCCUUUUGGAUGGGGAAUAACACCUCGGAAGCUUAAUACCCGCGAUAAGUGCUUGCUGGCACCCCUAAGUGGGUGACAGUUUGUUAAAGCGGGGGGCAUAAAAAGCACCUUCAGCAGUUCUUAAAGCAGGCAGCCUGCUGGCGGUAUUACUUUGAUUGGAACGGGUACCGGCUUUACCAAGGCGACUAUCCGAUACCCGGCCGUGAGAGGGCGCCGGCCACACUUGACACUGACUCUCGGGUCAUACUCCAUACGGGAGGUAGGAGUUGGGAAUUUUGGGCAAUGGGCACAAGCCUGACCCACAACGCCGGGAGAAGGAUAAACCCCCCGGGAUGUAAACUUUAAAAGAACAGGAAGAAUAUUUUUGUUAAAACUACCACAAAGAUUGACCCUACCGUUUGAUAAGCCCCGGAAUAACUCCGGUGCCAAGAGCGGGAGAAUAAUAGGGGGAGAGCCAGUGUUUUUAAAAUUUACUGGGCAAAAAAAGGGGCGCAAGAACGGCUCUCCCCCCGGUUUUGUAAAUUUGAACACC